GACGAACGCUGGCGGCGUGCCUAAUACAUGCAAGUCGAGCGGACGGAUGGGAGCUUGCUCCCAGACCGUCAGCGGCGGACGGGUGAGUAACACGUGGGCAACCUGCCUGUAAGACUGGGAUAACUCCGGGAAACCGGGGCUAAUACCGGAUAACUCUUUCCCUCACAUGAGGGAAAGCUGAAAGAUGGCAUCUCGCUAUCAAUUACAGAUGGGCCCGCGGCGCAUUAGCUAGUUGGUGAGGUAACGGCUCACCAAGGCGACGAUGCGUAGCCGACCUGAGAGGGUGAUCGGCCACACUGGGACUGAGACACGGCCCAGACUCCUACGGGAGGCAGCAGUAGGGAAUCUUCCGCAAUGGACGAAAGUCUGACGGAGCAACGCCGCGUGAGUGAUGAAGGUUUUCGGAUCGUAAAACUCUGUUGUCAGGGAAGAACAAGUACCGGAGUAACUGCCGGUACCUUGACGGUACCUGACCAGAAAGCCACGGCUAACUACGUG
rnacentral:rRNA from 1 species